AGUGAACGCUGGCGGUAGGCCUAACACAUGCAAGUCGAACGGCAGCACAGUAAGAGCUUGCUCUUACGGGUGGCGAGUGGCGGACGGGUGAGGAAUACAUCGGAAUCUACUUUUUCGUGGGGGAUAACGUAGGGAAACUUACGCUAAUACCGCAUACGACCUACGGGUGAAAGCAGGGGAUCUUCGGACCUUGCGCGAUUGAAUGAGCCGAUGUCGGAGUAGCUAGUUGGCGGGGUAAAGGCCAACCAAGGCGGCGAUCCGUAGCUGGUCUGAGAGGAUGAUCGGCCACACUGGAGCUGAAACACGGUCCAGACUCCUACGGGAGGCAGCAGUGGGGAAUAUUGGACAAUGGGCGCAAGCCUGAUCCAGCCAUACCGCGUGGGUGAAGAAGGCCUUCGGGUUGUAAAGCCCUUUUGUUGGGAAAGAAAAGCAGCAGGUUAAUACCCCGCUGUUCUGACGGUACCCAAAGAAUAAGCACCGGCUAACUUCGUG
rnacentral:rRNA from 1 species